rfam:Dehalobacter sp. CF, complete genome.
CAAACCGCGCAGUGAUGUGUAGCUGAGGCAUGAGAAGUCAGCAGAAGCUAUAGUACCGCGGAAACGCGGGAAGGGC